UACAACUAAAAAGACUAAAAAGAGGACAACCUUUUCGUGCGACAAUCUUCCGUCUCGGUUUCGUCCUGCCUCCUGCGACCGACGCGCAUCCCGCACGGCUCUCUCUUCCGCCAAAUCCCGCACGUCCCUCGCAGAUCCUCCUCGCAUCUCGUAUCCUGCUUCGCAUCCCGUAUCCUGCUCGGAGCACCGCUCCCAAAUCCUCCUCGCCGCCCCCUCCGCCGCCGUGCGCCGGCGAACAGAGCCCCCCUCGCAUAUCCUCCUCGGCCACUCCCGUUUCCUGCAAAUCCUCCGCUCGGCCGCUCCCGUUUCCUGCAAAUCCUCCGCUCCCAAAUCCUCCUCGCCGCCCCUGCUCGGAGCCCCGGCAGGCUUGCUUGGUUCGCCGCCCUGGGAUCGCCGCCGUGCGCCGGCGAGCAGAGCCCCCCUCGCAGAUCCUCCUCGGCCGCUCCCGUAUCCUGCUCGGAAGCGCCUGCGUCUUGCCGGUUGCCGGACGCACCUAUCAACCGCUGGUGACGACGAAUCCAUCCCGACGCUGGUGAGGCCAAAGCCAUCCCGCUCAACCGUUGCUGAUACCAGGAAAUCAGGAAUUACAGAACCAAGCUUUCUCCCAUACAAGGAGUGUUUUGUGAGCAUUGGCUCUAAGAGAUCAGAAUGAGACUUAAAACUAAUACCUGAGGUCUACAAUGUUGUUGAUGCUUCUACCGGAAUCAACAAACACGAGCGACUAGAGCCAAACAGGAAGAGAUUGAUUUCUGAUUGAAACUAAGGAUUAACUUACUGUUUAGUUUGUUCAUAACGGAACCUAUACAAAACAAUGAAGGUCGUACGCCAUUUGCAGACUUGACAAACUCCAUUAAUGGAGGGAAGUGCAUUCAGUCAUCAUUAGUGAUUGUCAUUGAUGUUAGUAGCAGCGCUCUCUGUGGUUUCUUAUUUGAGAUGUGUAGUGCGAAUGCAUCUGAAUAUGAGAUGAGAUGCCAUCGCUGACUCUCGUGCCCAUUGUAAGUGAAAAUUACCCAUGGCAACCAUAUCUAUCUGACAUAGAAACAGAACCAUAAAUUUGAGCGAGUUGAUGAGGGGCAAUGAUGUUGAAGCUUUUCUGAUUUGUAUGCCAUUGAUCAACUGAUUGAGUUUGAAUCUUUGGGGAACUUGCUUGCCCGCACAGGAGGCCAAGUUUGCUAGGAUUUCAAUGUCCAAAUUCUCUAUAGAAUGAAUUUUCCGAACCGAAUGAAUUUCCUCCUACAAGUUACAUAGCAUGGUAAUGAAAUCAAUAUUCGAUGAUGAGCCAGUGCUUAAAACAACUGAUAGAAUGAUGGAGAGGUAAGUGCCCUUCUGUAUUGUCUUUGGUGACUGUCAAUUUUUUUUCUUGACACAAUUGGCAUUGUAGGCUCAUCUUUUUUCUUUUGCUUAAUUUACCAACGAUCAUAAGUUGUGCAGGAACUACAAAUGACCAUAAAUAGGUUACGAUGUAUGCCAUCCCUUCUCCUUUCUCCUUUCUCCUUACCGCAUCAUCUCAGGUUGUAUGCCAUCUGCUCUCCUUUCUCCUGAUCAGGUUGGACCGGGGAUAAUUAAGUUAAUUUCAGAUCCUGUGCAAAAACCCAUUGAUGUGUAUAACUCCACUCAUUUCUUAGUUACCAUAUUGUCAUGAAUGCUUACUAAAUAUAUCAGGAUUUCAGCAUUAGAAGCAUAAGAUAGAUGAAACCGAACACCAUAACUGUGUUGCUCUGAUGAAUACCAAUGCCUCAGUCUAUGCCUAAUUCCCUAUGUUCAAGUUACAUGUAGAAAACCUGUUUUUAAUUCUAUUGAGUUUUAAAAUUGAAUAAUAUCUUAAAAUUUAGAAUAAUUUGUGUGACCAUCAAUGUGUCUACAAGGGACUGCAAACACACUGCUUCCAGCCACAAAGUGAAUGUACAAUUUAUUAACAGAUGUGGCUGAAUAGUUGUGCAGAAAACAUAUUUAGUUAUUUCUAUUUUGCAGAAUCUCAAGCUGCACCAAACCACCGGUAAAAAGCCCGAGCCACAUAGGUAUGUUGGCUCUGUUUGUAGGCUAUUUAAAAGCCAAUUGCAGAGUUAGCAAUAUGAGAAAUGUAUGCCAGUUUCCCAGAAUGGUACAUAAGAAGACUCGCUUAACAGAAAAUGAUUGAGCAACUGAGUAGGGAACUAAUAAGAAAAAAACUUCAAUUUGGCAAGUUCAAUUUGGUAGAUAUCUAUCCGAGCUUGUAGGCAGUAGUUCUAGAUAGCAUUGCAUCAUGGGCAAACCAUAUAGCAAUAAUGAUCAGAAUUGCAUUAGUCAGAGUGCUAUAAAUAUGCAUGUGUUGGAUUAAAUUUUAUCUUUUAAUUUAUGUUAAAUAAAGUAAACUCUAGAUUCCCACAAAUGGAAGAUAUUAUAAUCAUGUAUUGGAGCAAUGCUAUAAAUGCAUAAACAUGCCUAACAAAAUCUACACUCUGAAGAUUUUAGGUAUCCUUUUCUUUAAAGAAAAGCAAGAAAUUUUCUUUAAACGAAAGAAAGAAAGAAAGAAAGAAAGGCAGCAGUGAGUUUACUAAUUAGACUAAUCAGUGAUUGAAACUGUCCCCUGGGAUUAGCAAGAAAGAAAA